ensembl:lncRNA
UGCGUGGUCGGGCUGUGCUGGAGGUGCUGUGGGAACUGAGGGCACUGUGCUGUGUGGUUGCUGCGCCUCUGGCAGAAGUGGGCAUGAAAUGGAGAGGGAAAAUGAGCAGAUGGGGGGGUGGACCCUGCUGACAUUGAGCCCCAAAGGCAAAUGGCUGCUAGAGCCAUGCUCUGCUCAGCUGCACUGCUUUAAAAUAAUAUGAAUUAAAAAAUAAAGAAAAUAAAGCAUACGCUGUGCAUGUGACUGAGCCCUGUUUUGUGUAAAAUGACCAGAAAAUAAAAUCCCCAGGAGAGCUUAACUUCAUGCCGGAGGAAAACAGCUGAUGUGGGAGCAGGGAAUGUGUUCAUUCCUUCUGGAAAACAGCUCUGACUCUACAGCUGUAGGAGAGGAGUGCUUUGUACACGAAAAUUGAAAUGAAAGUCUUGGCAUGUAUGAGGGAUGCUUUUCCUGGUUUCUAAUCGUUUCCUAUGGAGCCCUUCAGCUCCCACACACAUGCAUUGAAUUUGACAGUGAUGAAGUUUAUCUAUUUUACCAAUGGAAAUGCAGUUAAGCUCAUGGGAACAAUACAGUUUUUGAAGUGGGAAUUCAGCUUUGCAGGUAACCAACGACUUUCACUUCAUUUUUAUGACAGCAAUAAAGGCAAACCCUAGGCUAAAUUUAAUUCCAAUUAAUUGGAAGCAUUGUUGAGGAUGCGUUGUGGUCAAACGAUAGCGAAUGUUUGAUCUGCAGAUGUGACUGCUGGUCGGGGCUGGGCUGGGAAGGGCAAAUCACAGAAAUCCCUGCACAGCCACCUCCCACAGCACAGACCAGAAGGCUAUUUCGUAAGUAGUGAGGUUGGAGUCUUGCUAAGUAAGGGCUAAAGAAGCCUUUAAUAUGUUUUUAUGGAUUGUUCAGGUGAAUUUUCCCCUGGGCACGGUCCCAAGCCGUGCUCACUGGCAAUGCCCGUAUCCCGGCCCCUCAUCUCUUUGUUUGACAUCUCUCCAAUUUAGGCAGCCAUUUUGUGUUCAGUAAAAAAACACACGAUGAAAUGAGGAGACAUCCAUUGUGGUCCAUCUCCCGGAGAUGCUAUUUUGGGAUUUUAUUUUGUGCUCAUCUUACCCCGGAGCAGCUGUAAUUCUACCUACAGAUGCCUGUGAGUUGAAACCCACCAUGUGAAUGGAUGCAGCCUCACCAUCGGGAUCCCAAAAAUGAAAUGAACAUCACUGGAAGCGAGUGCUGCUCCUACCCACAGCAUUCUGUGUUGUGCCCUCAGUGCUGAUGGCCAGGUCAGGAGAGAGCAACGUGGGGCAGAGCUGUUCUCUCUGUGCCACGGGGCUGCUCUGGGGGCUCAGGGCGCUGUGCUGCAUCAUCUUCUCUCCCUCCCCGCCACCCCACAGCCACCACUGCAUUUCCUUCCCUAUCCUCCCGAAAGUCCCCGAGCUAUUAAGUAGGUCACGAGAGCUGGUCCCCAUCCAGCAGUUUGUCUAAUUGCCUUUUUAUAGUCGCACCGUGCCACUCUUCAUUAUGCUGUCAGUGCUGCGGGAGGACGGGGCGGGGAGUGCCCGGAGCUGGGGACGAUGGCUGCGGUUUCAGACGUGGUUUGCAGUGCUGUUUGAGGAAGCGCACAGCUCACCGAAAGCCGUAGGAAUGAAACGCUUUGAGGUGCGGGGGCCUGGCCCGGGGGAGCAGCUCCUCCUGCCCCGGCUCCGUCUGAAACGAUUUGCGGCUCAAACGCCCCCGCGAGACCCGCUAACCUUUGGGUAAGGUUUGGCUUCGCGAUCUUGCUUGGGUUCAAUAGGAAUUAGGGGGAGCACAGGAGGGACGCGGCUGCAGCCCUACACCCCCCAUCCCUGCAUCCUCCAUCCCCGCACACCCCAUCCCCGCAUCCUUCCAUCCCCCCAUCCCCGCAUCUCCCCAUCCCACGUACCCCAUUCCUCCCAGUCCCGCUCCCGGCGGAGCAGCGCGCUGCGAGCAGCAGAGGUGAAUGCCCCGAUCCUCCUCGCCAUCUCUCCGUACCUCUCUUUUUCUUCUCUUCCUCUGCCUCUCUCCUCCUUUUCCUUCCUUUUUCUCUUUUUAUUUCCCCUCCUUUCGCUGCGUUCUAUCCCCAUUUUCAGCCGCCGGCAGAAGUUCGGGGCGAUUUUUAUUUCCAGGCGCCGCCGAACAAAAUCUCCUUCUCCCACCUUCGGACGCGGGGCAGCAAUCGGGGCUGCCCGGGGUGCGGUCCCCACGGCGGUCCCCCUGGGCGGGGGGGGGGCUCAGCGAUGCCCCAGAAGCGGGGGGGAAUUUGGGAGUCGAGGAAGAGCCCCGGUGUCCCGCACCCCUCGGAUGCCCGCAGCGCUGAGCCCGCCGGCGUCCCUCACCCUCCCGUUUAUCUCCGUGUCUCGGCACGUGUAUGCCGGGGCCGUGAGGGUUUGUGUGGGGGUACCGCCGUAUCCAGCAGCAGCACAAAGCCCCGCGCCCCCGCCCAGAAGCACCCUCCCCCGGCUGGCGCUGCCUGGGGACACGUUUGUCCCGCACCGGACCGGGGUCCUCUUUAGGCUCCGUGGACGUUUUCCGGUGUUUUUAAUGAUGAUUAUCAUCAUUAUCUUAAUGGUGCUUCUAAAUAUGUCUCCCGAGCCCGACGCACCCCUCAGAUCCGCACCGCGCGGGCCCUCAGCGGUGCAGGGCCGGGGCUCUGCGGGGCGAGAGAUGGGGAGGAGGGGGGAAAUGCCCCAGUGCCUCCGCAGCACGCCGCGAUUUGGGCGAAUAUUCGUUGUUUCCUCCCUGACGCCCUCUGCGGCCCCCAACAUCGAUCUCCUUCGCGUCUUUUGCAAUGAAUUUAUCGUUGGCUAAAUAAGAAAUAAUAAUAAUAAUAAUAAUAAUAACGAAAUUUAAAAAAGAAAAAAAAUCAUUGCAUGAACCCCGAGGUGUUCUUCUGCGCGCUCUGAUGGCUCGGUUUUAUUUUGGUUUGGUUUUGUUUUUUCUUUGUUUCUCGACCUAUUUGUGCGCUGAUUUGUGUUAAUUCCCGCCCGGCGCAAUGCGAUCCCCGUUGGGGUCGGGCCCGGAGGGCAGCGGCGGCCGAGAGACCCCCGUGGAGCGCAGCCCCGCUGCGGCGACGGCUCUUUUUGACGCAUUUCAUCCGCUUUGCACCCAAUUCCCCUCCUGCUUCCGUCAGAAGGAAAAUACAGCAAUAAAUAAAAUAAAUAAAUAAAUAAAAAAGAAGGGGGGGGGGGGGGGGGGGCGGUAUGUGAGGCGUUUUCUGGAAGCUCCGCUCCGUGCCGCACCCCAACCGCAGCCCUCCCCUCUUCCCCCCCCCCUCUCCCCCCAAAGAACGGCAUCAGAAAAUCAUUCAGUGUCGGGUUUUCCGUUUUCUGUAGUAAAACAAAAAUGCUCGUUGUGACCUCCGAAAAGCAGCGAACCAAACAGGCGCUCCCCCCACCUCCACUUCGGGAACGUCUAUUAUUCUUUCUCUCCUGAACCACAGAACCGCGGUGAUCCCCACGCAGUGCCGCAGCGGUGCUGUUUACCACCGGCCCCGAACCCCAAAUGCCGCCGCUCCCCCCGCGCCGCCCCGCACGGAUCUCCCGUGGCCGUUAUGUGCAGUGCGGGCUGCGCACCUCGGGGACAAUUAAACAAAGAAAACUCGCGGAGGGCUUUUCUGUUCAACAUAUGAAUUCUGUGCAAUAAGUGGGCGCACUGCGAUGGAGACGCGGUUCUCUCUGCCAGGGGUUUGCACCGGCCGCCCGCUGACAGCCGUCGGUUGGUGACAGCCGCCGUCCGGUGACAGCCGCAGACCUGUGACCACCGCAGCCCGGUGACAGCCGCCGUCCGGGAGGGACCGGCGGAAAGGAGCGGAGCGGCGCGGAGCGGGGCGGGAGGG